UCUGGUAGUUGCAGCAGGCACUCACAGAGGACAGACUGUUUGCAAGGUAGGUCAGGUGACAGGGAGUCAGGAGGGCUGAGAAGGCUCAGGGCCUGACUCCAGAGAGAGGGGUUGCCAUCCCCCAGGUCCAGAGGGGCCCUGGGAGGAGUCCAGGCAGGGCUGAUGCUGGAAGGAGUAAGACAAGCUGGCACUCAAGGACUGCAGCCACUGGCCACGUCGGGCCAGGUGGGACUGGCUGCCUUCCCUGGUCUCAGCCCCAGCCUUCUGUGGCUGCCUCCCGCAUUGGAGCCAUCAGAGAGCAAGAUGUGGGAGGGGCAGGUGAAGGACAGCCUCUGUGAUGGCCCCUGAUGUGCUGCAGCCUAGGGUGAGGGGCCUUGGGGAUGGGAAGGUGGACUGGGAAGGGCUGGAAGCUGGGAGAUGAUGGCCCCCAGCACUUGGUCCUGAGGGGCCUUGGAGCAGCUUCCCCGAGGCCUGCAGAGGCAACUUCUGAUGCUUGAGGAGCUGAGGCCAAGGGGAGGCUCCCCAGACACAAGGAGAAGGGGCUGGGGGCAGCCAGAAGGCUUUGGGCUACCCUCCCUGGAGGCUCAGGUCCCAGGUGACCCCUCCAGCUGUGUUCCUUGCAAGAUCGGGACCUGCCAAGAUUGCAGAUGUGAGGAAAGGAAAAUGCCUUGGGCUUUCUUCCCAGUGUGGCUGAGCUGUCCCUGUAAGGACAUGCAGACACUCAGAGGACCUGUCCUCAGGGGCCUUAGGGUGAAGGUCAAGAUCUCACCGUACAACCAGCUGGGCCCUGACUACUUCCAGCCACCAGGCCCCUGGGACAGGAGCAGGACAGUGGUUAUUUCCCCAGUGGGCAGGGGGCUCCAGGUUACAUAAGAACAACAUGCCCUGUGAGAAGGCGUGGGGAUGAAAAUGCUUCCCCCUGGGCUGAGAUUCCAGGACACCUGAGAUGGGGGGACCCCGGCCACAUGCUUAGAGCUCUCAGGGAACCUGGAGGGCCCCUCAGCCUCUGUUCCCCUGCUGGGGAGAACAGAGGCCUGGUGGGAGCAAUUUCAGGGAACUCAGAGAAACACUGUUCCCCAGACCCUGGAGGUCCCUUUGUGCCUGGCUUUCAUUGUGAGGCCCCCACCAGCUAGCUAGUCCUGCUCUGGGAGCCUCCACGUGUACCCCUGGCUCCUCAGGCCAGCCUAGGGUUGGAGGGUGCGGUCCCCAUGGCCUGUAGGAAGUAGGGCUCAGAGAGGCAAAGUCACCACCCUGAGGUCACCAGGAGGUCCCAGCAGAGGGGGUUGGGACCUGGCUCAGGGCCUGUUCUCCCUGCUGAGCUCAGUGGGAUGAGGCCACCUGAAGGGUCCCACUGUUUUUCUCUGGUCUCUGCCCCAGCAUGUGGUGGGACCUUGAUUUCCAUACUCUCAUGUCCCCAGUCUGGGGGGAGGCAGAGGUCGUGGGGUCACCGACAUCACCUGGCUCAUUCUUCCCCUAUCCAGGCUGUCCCAUGAGCAUAUCUAAUUUGUGUGUCAUCGGAGUCAAUAAUGUGUUUUGCUGUCGCUCUUGUUCCAGGGAUAUUGCUCAGCCAAAGAGCCAGCAUCCCACUGAAGAAGAUCAGAAAGAGGCUUCUGGUCAGCAGGAGGCUCCUGGGGAAGGCCUGGGCUGGGAGUGGGACACGGGUAGGGCUGGGUGGAAGAGUACCAGGCUGGGUCCCCAGUUACAGGCCUGGAGCUGUUACGGGACCCAACAGGCCCCCCAGCCUCCAUCCCCGUGCUGGGUUCUCAGGUUUAGUGGGGGCAAUGCCUGGGCACUCAGAGGGAACCUGACCCCAGAGCCUGGUGACCCCUCUACGGCAUGCCUGGCGCUCACCGUGAGGCCUGCACCAGCCAGUCCUGCUCUGAGAGCCUCCUCGUGUCCCCCGGCUCCCCUGCCAACCUGGGGGUGGAGGGUGGGGUCCCCAUGGCCCGUGGGAGGGAGGGCCCAGAGGGGCAAAGUCACCACCCUGAGGUCACCAGGAGAUCCCUGCAGAGGGCAGAGUGAGUUGGAGCCUGCCUCAGGGUCUGUUCCCCUUGAGCUCGGUGGGACAGGGCCAUCUCGAGGGUCCCAGUGUUUUUUUCUGGUCGCUGCCCCAGAGUCUAAUGGGACACAGCCCCUCACAUUCCCAGUCUGUGGGGGACAGAGGUCAUGGGUCGCUGACAUCCCUUGGCUCAUUCCUCCCCCAUUUACCCGACAGACCCCUUAUCCUCCAUCCCCCUGCUGGGUUUGGAGACUGGCUCAGGGCCUGUUCUCCCCUACUGAGUUUGGUGGGAUGGGGCCAUCUUGAGGGUCUGGGUGUUUUUCUCAGGUGGGACCUGGAUCCCCACAGUCCCUCACGUGCCCAAUUUGUGGGGUGGGCGUGGGGUCACCAAGGUCACUUGGCUCAUUCUUCCCCCAUCCAGAUUCUGUCUCCAGAGCCUUUGAGGUCACUCCUGACGCUGACAUGGCUGUGAAGAGCUGGGUGACAGGCAUUACUGCCUCCAAGGUUGCUUUGAGAGGAAUAGGUGGGGCAUCAGGAAGAAGCCAGCUGCAGGUCAGAAGGCAGCACUGCCUCCCCGGGGGAGCCCCGGGGGAGGGUCUGUCUGGGGGUCCCUAGGGCGGUGCAGGGCGGGAGAGUCAGAGGGAGGCCCAGGAUGGGUGUGGGAGGCUGGGGUCAAAGCUGGGGCUGGAGCUCGGCUCUCUUAAGACCCUGAGCCCCCCUCCCUCCUUUCCUUGCCUUUUGUCGCCCUCCUUCGGGCAAGGCCUCUGCUGAUGCUGCUUUUUUUCUCCUGAAGCCAUCCAUGGGAGGGAGCUGUGAGAUGGCCUGGCAGGACCGGCUCUCACACCCCACAGAAUGGGAGGCUCACCCUGCACAGGAACAUCCUGGGGCAGCAGGCUCAGCACAUUUUAAAUUUUGAGUAUGAACAAAGUAAACUUCAGGGUAAAAAAAAAAACAAAAAUUCGCUGAGCACACAAUGACUGAGUGUCUGUGGUAUACCUGACGCUUUGCCAGAACCAGGCUUCAAACCUCAGGGUUCUGGGUCCUUGGAGGCCCAGCUCCGACCCCACCUCACCCAAGCACCCUCCACCCCCAUCAUGUACCCCUCACCAGGGCUGCCCAGCUUGGGCCAUCUCAGACCACUUGGACUUCCUCCCGAGACCUGCAGGCCGUCAGACCUCACACCCUGAGCCCCUCAACCUGGAAACCAGCCACCGGCCUGUACACUAUGGGGGCCCCUGAGGUUUCCACCUCCUGCUACCCUUGGCCUGAAAAGAAUAACUGUGGAACAUGCUGGAAAUGCAACAUCCUGAGACAGGGAGAACAGCCUGAAGCAGCCAGGGCCUAGUUCCUGUUGCUCCAAGAGAAGGGAACAUCAUGAGUUAGAGAGUGGUCCCCGAAGAAGAAAGCAAGGCAAAAAUCCCUGUAAGUAGAGCUCACCUGGGCCAAGGUGAAGACAACCACUGGGGAGACUCAGAAUUGGAAUAUGAGCUCCGUUCAGCCUUUGUAACUGGCUUUUCUUUGAGACGGAGUCUCCCUCUGUCUCCCAGGCUGGAGUACAAUGGUGGGAUCUGGGCUCACUGCAA